rnacentral:rRNA from 1 species
CCUACGGGGGGCAGCAGUGGGGAAUAUUGGACAAUGGGGGCAACCCUGAUCCAGCCAUGCCGCGUGUGUGAAGAAGGCCCUCGGGUUGUAAAGCACUUUCAGUGAGGAAGAACGCCUGGUGGUUAAUACCCAUCAGGAAAGACAUCACUCACAGAAGAAGCACCGGCUAACUCCGUGCCAGCAGCCGCGGUAAUACGGAGGGUGCGAGCGUUAAUCGGAAUUACUGGGCGUAAAGCGCGCGUAGGUGGCUUGAUAAGCCGGUUGUGAAAGCCCCGGGCUCAACCUGGGAACGGCAUCCGGAACUGUCAAGCUAGAGUCCAGGAGAGGAAGGUAGAAUUCCCGGUGUGGCGGUGAAAUGCGUAGAGUUCGGGAGGAAUACCAGUGGCGAAGGCGGCCUUCUGGACUGACACUGACACUGAGGUGCGAAAGCGUGGGUAGCAAACAGGAUUAGAUACCCUUGUAGUC